GACGAACGCUGGCGGCGUGCCUAAUACAUGCAAGUAGAACGCUGAAGGAGGAGCUUGCUUCUCUGGAUGAGUUGCGAACGGGUGAGUAACGCGUAGGUAACCUGCCUGGUAGCGGGGGAUAACUAUUGGAAACGAUAGCUAAUACCGCAUAAUAGUAGAUGUUGCAUGACAUUUGCCUAAAAGGUGCAAUUGCAUCACUACCAGCUGGACCUGCGUUGUAUUAGCUAGUUGGUGGGGUAACGGCUCACCAAGGCGACGAUACAUAGCCGACCUGAGAGGGUGAUCGGCCACACUGGGACUGAGACACGGCCCAGACUCCUACGGGAGGCAGCAGUAGGGAAUCUUCGGCAAUGGACGGAAGUCUGACCGAGCAACGCCGCGUGAGUGAAGAAGGUUGUCGGAUCGUAAAGCUCUGUUGUAAGAGAAGAACGAGUGUGAGAGUGGAAAGUUCACACUGUGACGGUAUCUUACCAGAAAGGGACGGCUAACUACGUG
rnacentral:rRNA from 1 species